UACAGAGGGUGCAAGCGUUGUUCGGAAUUAUUGGGCGUAAAGGGCGCGUAGGCGGUGCGGUAAGUCUGUAGUGAAAUCUCUGGGCUCAACUCAGAGUCUGCUGCAGAAACUGCCGUGCUUGAGUGUGGGAGAGGUGAGUGGAAUUCCCGGUGUAGCGGUGAAAUGCGUAGAUAUCGGAAGGAACGCCGGUGGCGAAAGCGACACACUGGAUCUUGUCUGACGCUGAGGCACGAAAGCCAGGGGAGCGAACGGG
rnacentral:rRNA from 1 species